UACAGAGGGGGCAAGCGUUUGUUCGGAAUUACUGGGCGUAAAGGGCGCGUAGGCGGCCUUCUAAGUCGAACGUGAAAUCCCCGGGCUCAACCCGGGAACUGCGUCCGAGACUGGAAGGCUUGAAUCCGGGAGAGGGAUGUGGAAUUCCAGGUGUAGCGGUGAAAUGCGUAGAUAUCUGGAGGAACAUCGGUGGCGAAGGCGGCAUCCUGGACCGGUAUUGACGCUGAGGCGCGGAAAGCCAGG
rnacentral:rRNA from 1 species